GACGAACGCUGGCGGCGUGCCUAAUACAUGCAAGUUGAGCGCUGAAGGUUGGUACUUGUACCAACUGGAUGAGCAGCGAACGGGUGAGUAACGCGUGGGGAAUCUGCCUUUGAGCGGGGGACAACAUUUGGAAACGAAUGCUAAUACCGCAUAAAAACUUUAAACACAAGUUUUAAGUUUGAAAGAUGCAAUUGCAUCACUCAAAGAUGAUCCCGCGUUGUAUUAGCUAGUUGGUGAGGUAAAGGCUCACCAAGGCGAUGAUACCUAGCCGACCUGAAAGGGUGAACCGGCAAAAUUGGAACUAGGCACCGGCCAAACCUCCUACGGGAGGAGCAGGAAGGGAACUUUCGGCAAUGAAGGAAAGCUUAACGGGCCAACGCGCCGUGAGUAAGGAGGGUUUUCGGAUCGAAAAACUCUGUUGUUAGGGAGAACGGUGGGUGGAAGGGAAAGCCCAACAAGGGACGGUAACUAACCAGAAAGGGACGGCUAACUACGUG
rnacentral:rRNA from 1 species